GGUGGGGGCGCUGGUUGUUAGCUGAUGGUGCUGGUUGCUAGGCGCUGGUUGUUAGCUGAUGGUGCUGGUUGCUAGGUGAUGGUGCUGGUUGCUAUGUGAGGGCGCUAGUUGCCCGGCUGCUAGGCACCGUAGAUGGAGAUGGCCCCGAGGAUGACCCAG